rnacentral:misc_RNA from 1 species
CGACGAUAAACAAAAGUAAACAACAGUUUGGCCGCCCCGCCCCCUUGGGCUCGAUUUCUGCUGGAAGCAACCGCCACUUGAACUCUUUCUCCUCUCUCUCUGUUUGCCAAAAUUCUCGUACAAUCAUGUAUACGAAUAAUAGUGGUAAUAGUAGUGAAGGUGAAGUUGAAGUGAAGAGACUGUUUAUAGGAGCAGGUUGCAACAGAAUAGUGAACAACGUCUCGUGGGGAGCCUGUGAUUUGGUUUCUUUCGGUGCUCAAAAUGCCGUUGCUAUUUUCUGCCCCAAGACUGCUCAGAUUUUGACUACUCUUCCCGGUCAUAAGGCCUCCAUCAAUUGCACCCACUGGAUUCCAAGCAAUAAGUUUGCUUUUAGAGCAAAAUACUUGGAGCAGCAUUUUCUGCUCUCUGGAGAUGCUGAUGGUGCCAUUAUUCUAUGGGAAUUAUCUCUUGCGAACAAAAAGUGGAGACAAGUGUUACAAUUGCCAAAAUCACACAAGAAGGG